rnacentral:rRNA from 1 species
AUUGAACGCUCGCGGCAGGCCUAACACAUGCAAGUCGAGCGGAUGAAGGGAGCUUGCUCCUGGAUUCAGCGGCGGACGGGUGAGUAAUGCCUAGGAAUCUGCCUGGUAGUGGGGGAUAACGUCCGGAAACGGGCGCUAAUACCGCAUACGUCCUGAGGGAGAAAGUGGGGGAUCUUCGGACCUUACGCUAUCAGAUGAGCCUAGGUCGGAUUAGCUAGUUGGUGGGGUAAAGGCCUACCAAGGCGACGAUCCGUAACUGGUCUGAGAGGAUGAUCAGUCACACUGGAACUGAGACACGGUCCAGACUCCUACGGGAGGCAGCAGUGGGGAAUAUUGGACAAUGGGCGAAAGCCUGAUCCAGCCAUGCCGCGUGUGUGAAGAAGGUCUUCGGAUUGUAAAGCACUUUAAGUUGGGAGGAAGGGCAGUAAGUUAAUACCUUGCUGUUUUGACGUUACCAACAGAAUAAGCACCGGCUAACUUCGUG